rnacentral:lncRNA from 1 species
AAUGAGGAGGGUUCUUCCGGGUGGCUUGCUGCACGUUUGUUUCGGCUGUGCAGGCUUGAAUGGUUCUUUUCGUCCUGCUUGCGUGCUGUGAAGGGACCUCAAGCAAGCUCCGAAGUUGAGACAUGGAUGCAGUGACUUAUGAUGAUGUGCAUGUGAACUUCACUGGGGAAGAGUGGGAUUUGCUGGAUUCUUCCCAGAAAAGUCUCUAUGAAGAGGUGAUGUUGGAGACCUACCAGAACAUCACUGCUAUAGGCUACAAUUGGGAAGACCAUCAUAUUGAAGAACAUUGUCAAAAUUCUAGAAGACAUGAAAGGCAUGAAAGAAGUCAUAUUGGAGAGAAACCCUAUGAACGUAAUCAAUGUGGUAAAGCCUUUGCAUGUUACAAUCAUCUCCAAAUACAUAAGAGAACACAUACCGGACAGAAACCUUAUGAAUGUAAUCAAUGUGGUAAAGCCUUUUCACGACAGAGUAAUCUCCAAUAUCAUAAAAGAACACAUACUGGAGAGAAAACUUAUGAAUGUAAUCAAUGUGGUAAAGCUUUUGUAAGACCCAGUCAACUCCAAACACAUAAAAGAACACAUUCUGGAGAGAAA